GAGGCCAACUGUCAUUCUUGCCUCAUGAUGUUGUCUUAGUUUCUGUCAGAUAGUAUGUUAUUGUGUUAGUUUUCUUUAUCAUGAAAGCUUUGUUUGACAUUUACAUGAGCCGCUUACUUUGCUGAAAGAAAAGAAACUCUGCUGAAGAAUGGUAGAAUAUCCUAAACUGGUUUUGAAGACAUCUCUGGUUACACGUGUACGGACACAUGAAUCGUAUCUCUAAAUAGCUCUGAUUAGACUGUGUGGAAAUGCCUCAGAGAUGCCUUCUUCCUUUCCCACAAUAACUUUCCAGAAGACAGAACAUCUUGCUGUCUGGACACGUUAAACCUUUGGAUGAGAAUAGGUUGGCAAGAUCCAGAAGAAAAUGAACUGGCCAAAACUCUGAAUGAUAUUCCAGUUUUCCCUCCAUUGUGAUGUCUGGUUGAUGAUUCAAUACUGCCAUUUAAGAGCCUUAGAGGAAAGGAAUCCUUUACCUUUCUCUCCCACCAUAAUCCCGCAAGAGUGAGGGCAUGUACACAACACCCCACCCAGGCAGUGACUUCUGAUCCACCCUAAACCACUGCGACCCCGAUGUGAAAUGGUUUGGAUCCCAAUGUAUUGGAAUAUCCCUGUAUCAGUUAGAUUUGCAUUUGUCUGUGGAUUCCAAGCAAGAAAGCAACAUUUGAAGACAAAGGAAUUUACUUCUGAGUAAACAUGCAUAGGCUUAUGCUGAAGUGCCCAGCCCAGAGUGGUAUUUUGGGCACACAUCCAUAUGAUGCACCCACCUUGCAAAAACUAAGCAGAUCUGACUGGUGCCUGGAGCUCCAUAUAUGCCGCCCUGAGAACCUCCUCAUGAAAGAAAGGUGGUGUAUAAAUGACAUCAAAGCAGGUCCAGACCUUUGGUACAUGUGCUUAGCCAAGAAGCCAAUGGGAGGAAAUGACAUGGCAACUUAGGAGGUUUCAAUGUGGAUCUGAUGAUUUCAGGCAAACGGCUUCCCAUCUGAAACUGAGCUCUAUGAAGUAUAUUCUACCCUGAAAAAAUUACUGUGUGAAUUGGCUGUACUGUAUAUCCUCCUCCUUAUUUUCCUUUACACUCAUCUCUCCCUUUCUCCAGUUCCCUAAAAAAUAAUCUGUUCUCUCCCUCUAUGGUUUCAGAAAAUAAACUGUAUAAAGUCCAGAAGCAAAACCCCUAAAGUGAGUGGCAGGAAGCAAUGUUGGCAUGUCAGGGGAAAUUUCAGAGGACUGAAGUCAAUGGUCAAAAUAACUUUGCAUUUAGUUGAAUGGGAAGUGAUCAUGGCUUGCUUGUUAUCUUCCUCAGGCUCCACUAAUUUGUGUUAUUCUGCUAACACAGGAAAACAACAUAUGUUUCAGAUUUCUACAGGACUGAAACAUCCAGCCAUCUACUUCCCCACCCUAUGAGAUUAUAAACAGAAAAAACCUUGCUUAUCCAGACAUCUCUAAUCCAAAUACUUUAUUUUUUCUGAACAUACUUUAUGGUUCACUCAUAUGCCUUCCAUAUACAUGCCAUCCCCCAUUAAGUAAAUAUUUUUCCACAGUGUCAGUACUUUCCAUUCCUGCCACUUUCACAUGGAUAUAGUUAUCAGGGUGCUUCCAAACAGACAUGAAACUGGCUGGCAGUCUUUCCUUUACAAACAGGGCACCAGCUUGCUGAAAAGCAAGAUCGUAUAAAUCUUUUUUCCCCCUAUGGCAUAACUAUACAAUGAAAUUGCCAUCCUGCUUACUUUGGCAGGCAGGAGCAGUGGGCAGGAAAAAGACAAUUUGAACAUUAGGGGGAAAGCAAUGUACACUAUGACAUACAUUGUCAUUGGCCUGCAGUGUGUUUGUUUUCUAUAUGUUUAUUAAAGCUUUACAAAUGCACAACAUUGAAAAAUUGUAACAACAAAAGAGAUUACUGAGUGCAACUUAAAGUCACAGAUGUUCUUGUGCUUUUUGUUCUGGCGUGUCCAAGCAAAAUAAAGCCUCUACAAGGCCAGUUCUAGGAACAGAGGGACAAUUAUUCAUGAAGGGAUACUGAGUUGUACAGAAGUCAUCAGGGUGUGUCACAUUUCUUGAUGAGUUCAAUAAAAUUAAAUUCCAUGCACAAGUCUAUCUCUUCUCCAAAGAGCCUUUGUUAGAGUCCUUACAACAGUGCAGCUUCUAAGCAAGCUAUGGCCAUCAAGGCAAUUAUCAUUAUAGUAUCUUUAUUUAAAAAAACAUGUUUAUCCUAAUUGGUGAAUAGCAUUAACACCAUUAAUCUGGGCUCAAGCUCCACGAUCUGCCUAGUAAUCCAAGAUAUCUCAUGAAAUUCCCCCCACUCCCUCCAAAAAUGUCUCAUAUAUUCCCACAACAUGUGCCACCAGCACAGUAGAGACAUCCCUCUGGGACUGAGUCUUGCACAGUUAUUUUGUUUAUUAAAACCUCCUUCACUGAGACUGCAGUCCUAUGGCCAUUUACCUGGUGGUAGAACAUAUUGUUUAUUGGUUAUGUACACUGCUUAGAGAGUUUGUGAUUAAGCAAUCUAUAGUUUUUUCUAAAUAAAUAAAUAAAUAAUAAUAAUAAUAGUAAUAAACGAAUAGGCCCAAUUCAUUUACAUUUUCCACAUUCACUAUUAAACAAUAAUGUAGCAUCUUUAGGGUUCAUUCUGUAGCCAAACUGCAAGAUUAAUUACAAUGGCUAGUAGUGUUAAAGACACAAUGGAGUGAAUCUGAAGUACAUAUGAGUUCUUUUCUAAGGCCAGCUCAACUUGCUGGCAUCACCCAUUGAGUUGGGUAGAUUUUGAAGGCCCAUAUUGCUGACUGAUCAGAGUGUCUUCAAGUGAGUAGCAGUGCACACAGAAAGUAUUUCAAAUUUGCCUUGAUCAUAGAGAAUGAGGCACUAUGAAAAAAAGGGGGAAAGUUUAAUGCAGUAAUAAAGCCAGGCAAAUAAACUGCAUAAUCAAAUCAGAACCAUAAAUUGUUAAGGAAAAUGAGCUCAGUCUUAUUAGAUUCUUAUGGCAAAUUCAAUCAGUGAUUUAUAAUCUCACCUGCUCCACAUUCAAAAUGCUGAGUUAUGUUACUGUAUCUGUAGGGAAAAUUACUUCACAUAAUAAUAAGGCUCCAUCUAUUUCAAGUAUCAACUUGAUUAAAGUAACAUCUGGGAAAGACGGAAAAAAAAUAAGCUGCUGAGCAUCUCACUCUGCAAAUUUGUUAUAUUUGAUAGCCCUCAUAAAUGUACUGUUAGUAACAUUAUCUUUUUAUUUGAAUUCCAGGCCUUGCCUUAUAUCUUUUUCAAUACGUUGUAUUAUGCUUUUAAACUUUGUGAUAAAAGCAAUUUGUGAUGCACUACUUCUAAAAGAGGUUUAUUUACUUAAAAGGCAGAUUGCCACUGGCUAGGGUAGAAAUCUCUCUCUCUCCCCCUUGCCACGUGCAAUCCGAAAUGAUUUCUGCUUCAUAAUAGCAAAGCUACUGUUAAAUGAGUCCUGCUGAAGAAAAAAUGGCUUUAAUCUCAGAGUCAACAUUCAGAAUACAGAGGGAAAAUCAAUGAAGGUGAAGGUUAUAGAAAGAAAUGAUUUGAAUGUACAAUGAGGCAGUCUCCCACACAAUAAAGGUAGAAAAUAAUUAGGUCUAUCGGAAUAUACAAAGCACAAA